rnacentral:rRNA from 1 species
AGUGAACGCUGGCGGUAGGCCUAACACAUGCAAGUCGAACGGCAGCACAGUAAGAGCUUGCUCUUACGGGUGGCGAGUGGCGGACGGGUGAGGAAUACAUCGGAAUCUACUUUUUCGUGGGGGAUAACGUAGGGAAACUUACGCUAAUACCGCAUACGACCUACGGGUGAAAGCAGGGGAUCUUCCGACCUUGCGCGAUUGAAUGAGCCGAUGUCGGAUUAGCUAGUUGGCAGGGUAAAGGCCCACCAAGGCGACGAUCCGUAGCUGGUCUGAGAGGAUGAUCAGCCACACUGGAACUGAGACACGGUCCAGACUCCUACGGGAGGCAGCAGGUGGGAAUAUUGGACAAAGGGCGCAAGCCUGAUCCAGCCAUACCGCGUGGGUGAAGAAGGCCUUCGGGUUGUAAAGCCCUUUUGUUGGGAAAGAAAAGCAGCAGGUUAAUACCCCGCUGUUCUGACGGUACCCAAAGAAUAAGCACCGGCUAACUUCGUG